AGCGAACGCUGGCGGCGUACUUAACACAUGCAAGUCGAACGAGGAGCUUCGGUGUAGCAAUACAUCGGAGCUUCUAGUGGCGUACGGGUGAGUAACACGUGGGCAACCUGCCCUUGAGUCCGGGAUACCCUCUCGAAAGGGAGGCUAAUACUGGAUACGUUCUUCGGAUCGCAAGGUCUGGAGAGGAAAGGUAGCGAAAGCUGCCGCUCUUGGAGGGGCUCGCGGCCUAUCAGCUAGUUGGUGAGGUCACGGCUCACCAAGGCUAUGACGGGUAGCUGGUCUGAGAGGACGACCAGCCACACGGGAACUGAGACACGGUCCCGACUCCUACGGGAGGCAGCAGUGGGGAAUUUUCCGCAAUGGGCGAAAGCCUGACGGAGUGACGCCGCGUGGGGG
rnacentral:rRNA from 1 species